GCCUCUGUAGCUCAGUGGUUAGAGCACUGGUCUUGUAAACCAGGGGUCGCAGUUCAAUUCUCUCCAGGGGCU
rnacentral:tRNA from 1 species